UGAGGACUUUCUCACUGCUUAGUGGUGGUGUUCCUUCUGCCCCGGGGUCUUGGCCUCUGUUGAGCUGGUGUCUGGGGUCUUUGUUAUGCUGUCAGAGAUCUCAAGGCCUCCCUGACAGUUGUCUCACUUGGUAAUGAUGUCAUCAUUAUCAGUGGUGGUAACUGUAUCCAGACAAUGACAUGGAACUUCUACUGUCUAGAAUAUUACAUUGUACAGAAGCCAACAAAAGUUAUUGCAUAGAAUAUUAACAACAUUUUUAUUACUAUUAUAUAAGAAUCAGAUUUAUUUUAAAAGUUAACAUUAGGUAUGCAUUAUAAAAUUAGGCAACAUUCUUCAGGACCCAUUUUUUUCCUCUAUUUUUUUCUUUUACAGAUGAAUUUUCUAAAUUUCUACCCUUUAUCCUUUUAUCAAGACAACCUAGUCUAGAUAAAUCCUGGUGCUCCAGGGGCCCAGGCAUGGGGGUGGAGUAAAACUCGCCCAUUCACCUGUGCCGGCAGGUUCUCUGCACCAGAACCAAUAAGUGGCCA
rnacentral:lncRNA from 1 species